rnacentral:rRNA from 1 species
UAUUGCACAAUGGGGGAAACCCUGAUGCAGCGACGCCGCGUGAGUGAAGAAGUAUCUCGGUAUGUAAAGCUCCAUCAGCAGGGAAGAAGAAAUGACGGUACCUGACUGAGAAGCCCCGGCUAAGUACGUGCCAGCGGCCGCGGUAAUACGUAGGGGGCAAGCGUUAUCCGGAUUUACUGGGUGUAAAGGGAGCGUAGACGGCUGUGCAAGCCAGAUGUGAAAGCCCGGGGCUCAACCCCGGGACUGCAUUUGGAACUGUGUGGCUGGAGUGUGGGAGAGGCAGGCGGAAUUCCUAGUGUAGCGGUGAAAUGCGUAGAUAUUAGGAGGAACACCAGUGGCGAAGGCGGCUUGCUGGACGAUGACUGACGUUGAGGCUCGAAAGCGUGGGGAGCAAACAGG